UACGGAGGGAGCUAGCGUUGUUCGGAAUUACUGGGCGUAAAGCGCGCGUAGGCGGUUACUCAAGUCAGAGGUGAAAGCCCGGAGCUCAACUCCGGAACUGCCUUUGAAACUAGGUAACUAGAAUCAUGGAGAGGUCAGUGGAAUUCCGAGUGUAGAGGUGAAAUUCGUAGAUAUUCGGAAGAACACCAGUGGCGAAGGCGACUGACUGGACAUGUAUUGACGCUGAGGUGCGAAAGCGUGGGGAGCAAACAGG
rnacentral:rRNA from 1 species